GUGGCGGCUGCUCCCCGUCGAUCCCACCACCGCCACCAUUAUUGCCACUGCUGAGCAGGUGCUGCUGGUGGUGAUGGUGAUAGUCUGGCGGGGGCGGUGGGGCUGUGG
rfam:Canis lupus familiaris chromosome 21, whole genome shotgun sequence.